CAUAAGAGGGGGAUAACAUCCGGAAACGGGUGCUAAUACCGCAUAGGUUUCUUGGUCGCAUGAUCGAGAAAGGAAAGACGGCCUUUGNNNNNNNNNNCUGGGUAGCUAUGUGUGGACGGGAUAAACGCUGAAAGCAUCUAAGCGUGAAGCCCCCCUCAAGAUGAGAUUUCCCAUCACUUCAAGUGAGUAAGACCCCUGAGAGAUGAUCAGGUAGAUAGGUUGGGAGUGGAAGUACAGCGAUGUAUGGAGCGGACCAAUACUAAUCGGUCGA
rnacentral:ncRNA from 1 species